UACGUAGGGGGCGAGCGUUGUCCGGAAUCAUUGGGCGUAAAGCGCGUGUAGGCGGCCCGGUAAGUCCGCUGUGAAAGUCCAGGGCUCAACCCUGGGAUGCCGGUGGAUACUGUCGGGCUCGAGUCCGGAAGAGGCGAGUGGAAUUCCUGGUGUAGCGGUGAAAUGCGCAGAUAUCAGGAGGAACACCAAUGGCGAAGGCAGCUCGCUGGGACGUGACUGACGCUGAGACGCGAAAGCGUGGGGAGCGAACAG
rnacentral:rRNA from 1 species